rnacentral:rRNA from 1 species
GACGAACGUUGGCGGCGUGCUUAAUACAUGCAAGUCCACUGAAGCAGUGGUAGCAAUAUCGCUGUGGAGGUGGCGCACGGGUGAUUAACACGUAGUUAAUCUGCCUUCAGGUCUGGCAUAACUCCGUGAAACCGGGGCUAAUAGCAGAUGAUGCAGCGGCUCGACAUCGAGACAGGUGUUAAAGCUAUGGUGCCUGAAGAUGAGCCUGCGUCUGAUUAGCUAUUUAGCGGGGUAACGGCCCACCAAGGCAACGAUCAUUAGCUGGUCUGACAGGAUGAUCAGGAACACUGGAACUGACACACGGUCAAGGCUCCUACGGGAGGCAGAAGUAAGGAAUAUUGCUCAAUGGGAGAAAUACUGAAGCAGCAACGCCGAGUGAGGGACGAAGGGCUUUUGCUUGUAAACCUCUGUAGUGAGAGAAAAAAAUCCCAAUCUUUGGGACAUGAUGGUAUCUAAAAAGUAAGCCCCGGCUAACUACGUG